AAACCUGGCAAGCUCUGGGGCUUAGAUUUUAGGCUUAUCUCACCCUAAAAUCAAAAUAUGCACAAGUGCUACCAAGUGCAGCUGAUGAAGCCACAGGUGUAAUGUUAAAUGGAUGUUACUGCUUUUUCAUGUGUAGCUUCCUGUAUUUUAAGGCUUUUGAUUUUCUGAAUACUGACAAUGCUUGAAAAAUCUCUUACAAAAUAUAAAUUUCAAUAAUCAAAAUUUAAAUCAUCAUUCUGUCCCAUGAGUCUAAGUUUUAAUCAGAAUGAUUCCUGCCUUUUUGCCUAGCAACACAAAAACCUCCUAGAGAAAAAUUUAUUCCUGAAUAUUUCCAGAACUUUAUAUAGAUCCACAUUUAAAAAUAUUUCUAGUGUAGCUGAGGUCUGAAGUGAUGUAGCUCUAUUCCAUAUGUGAAGCCGUGAGGUGUGUGUGUCUGUUGGUAGUCUGAAUUGGAGCUAGCCCUGAAUGUAUAGAUUUUAGCUGAGAUUGAACUCGAAUUAAAAGAAAUGCCAGUCUGAUUCCCUCCUAUCUGAGUUGAUCUUUCUAUUCCUCGAAGCACAUUUCAAUAACUCUCUUGUUAUCCUCCUCUGAGACCCCGUAUGCUAUUAUUGUUCUUAUCUAUACAUUCCCUUGAUUAUGGCACUGUCCACUGAGCCUGUCAUCGCUGUGGCUGCCUCAUAAUGCCUGCAAUUAUUGCUCCGUGGGCUGCCAGAGCCACUAAUGAUGCUGUGUUGGCUGUUGGUGCUGCGGGAGGCGAGGGCUGUGUGCUCACCCUGCAGAAUGCCGGGAGCUGCAAUGGGAAGAGCAAUCACCCACAGCUUCUGCUGAGAUCUGCUCCCUCUGGGUCCUCAAGGUCCCAACAAUUCCUGGGGCUGUCCAGCUAUCAGGACAAGUAAACUGUGAUGUAAGAGCUGCUCUUCUGUCUCUGUGAAAGCUUUUCCAAGGGGCCUCAGAAAACACAGGAGAGGAAGAGCUGGCUGUGGCAGCAGGAAGAUGGAUCCUCCUGUAAACCCAGUGAGUGCCAGCUCAGAGCCAAAAACCCUGUAACAACCUGGUCCUGCAGAGGACAGCUGAGAGGUACAACUUUGAAUGAAGGAGAGGGAAGAAACCAGGAUAACUUGUGUGUGCCUUUUCCUUCCAUGUGAAUAUUGCAUGGGCAGUUCAUCCCUAAAACAAGCUGCCAGCCUGCAGCACCCAAUGUCACCAAGUCACCAAGGCAGGCCCUCAGUGUAGGCACAUAAAGGUGAGGGGGCUGUUGGGAUCUGCCCAGUGACAAUUACACACAAACUACAGCAGUUGAAAUAUGUAUUCCAAAGGAACAUGGAAUUAUAGUAAUUCCAGUGAGGCAUGGGAUAGCUCACAGCCUCAAUGGCCUGGUGGAUAUGUAUAAUGCUCCCAUGUUUCUUACCAAUUUAGGUGGAGGUCUUAUUCUCUUACCAAAACCAGAUUCUUCCUAAUUGAUCUGUGUAUUUGUUAAUUUUACCCCUGCUAUUUUAAAAUUAUUUUGUUCUGUGUACCAGAGAGCAAAUGCAGCCUAGAUUAGACUGCGUAGACCAGAGUCAAGGGUACCACAGCUGUGAAUAAAGUAGCUGUGUUUUGUGCAAAAGAUGUCUAAUUCAUUAUAGAGUUUCUCCUCUCUGCCUUCUCCUCCCUUCUGUAUGGACCUGCAGGAAACCACCCCUUGAGACCACAAGGUGAAGCCCAGAGGCAGCUCAUCAUGAUCUUGGUGACUGUGGUUUCUUUGACAAUGUCUCUAAAAGCUAUUUCUACUGAGAGGUAACAGCCUGCAUUUGAAAAAAAAAAAAAAAAAUUAAAAAUCUCUAACUUGUGGGAAUGGUCCCAAAUCUAAGCCCCUCAAUGCUUCAGGUUGGAAACUGGUCUGUAUGGUUGUGGCGUCACUGCAGUACUGCUGCUCUGGGAAGGGCACAGUGCUCCCUCCCUGUGCCAUGCAGCCCAGCACUCACACCCUGAGCAUGAAACUUAGGGAGAAGGAACGGCUGAGGGUUUGUUUUGCUUGUUUUGCUCCUCACAUGAAGCUGUACAUUUCCAGAGCACAACAUCAAAGCUCAGCUCUGCUCCUGUGCUGCUAGCAGAGAUGUUCAGCAAGUUUGUCUGCUUUGUAAUGGGAUAAUGAAAGGUGUGAAGAAAUAUGCAAACAAGUAAUGAAAGAAACCAAAUAGAUUAAAAUCAGAAGGUUGAAGUGCUUUCCCCCCCUUUCUUUAUCUUUUCUUAUUUUUUUAUUUCUUUUCCUUUCUCGUUUUUUUUUCCUUUCUUCUUUUACCCCCGUUCUUUUCGUGUUUUGUUUCACACUUGCACUGUGCCAUGUUCUCAAACAGGGUAAUUUGCAGGAGCUUAGGAGAAAUUGCUGUGACAGGCAGCAUGGCUAAAUACUGUAUCUUGGAAUUGCCCUCCCUGGAGCAGCUGCUCAGGAUGCCAGGGAUACAGUACUUUUCCUGUCUGAGAAACAAAACAAUAAGGCUCAAACACAUGGCUUCUGGAAACACUUACAGACAAACUUCUUACACACUGAAUGUGCUGAAACUAUAAACUAGAUGUUAGGAGGGCUGAGCUGAUUUCAAGUAGACUUUCAGGAAUUUCAGAGAAGGCUCAUAAACCAUCUUUACCAUAUAAAUUUUGUAUUGUAAAAUUUAUAAAGUGUUUAUAUUGCACACACACAUAUAUAUAACACAUGGGGGGUUUAUAUUAUAAAUAAUGUAAUUCUGCAUAACUGUAUAGUUAUGAAUUCUAUAGCAGUAAUAUAUUGUGGAUUAUUUGCAAUAUAUAGCCUAUAUAGUGAGAUAAAUGUG